rnacentral:rRNA from 1 species
AACUGCGAGUGAAGCGGGAAAAGCUCAAAUUUAAAAUCUGGCGGUCUCUGGCCGUCCGAGUUGUAAUUUAGAGAAGCGUCUUCCGCGCCGGGCCGUGCACAAGUCUCCUGGAAUGGAGCGUCAUAGAGGGUGAGAAUCCCGUCUUUGGCACGGAUGCCUGUGCUUCUGCGAUGCGCUCUCGAAGAGUCGAGUUGUUUGGGAAUGCAGCUCAAAAUGGGUGGUGAACUCCAUCUAAAGCUAAAUAUUGGCGAGAGACCGAUAGCGAACAAGUACCGUGAGGGAAAGAUGAAAAGCACUUUGGAAAGAGAGUGAAACAGUACGUGAAAUUGUUGAAAGGGAAACGCUUGAAGUCAGUCGCGUCGACCGAGACUCAGCCUUGCCUUGGCUUGGUGUACUUCUCGGCUCGACGGGUCAGCGUCAAUUUUGCCCCUCGGAUAAUGGCAAGGGAAAGGUGGCACCUUUGCGGGUGUGUUAUAGUCUCCUGUCGCAUGCGAGGGGUGGGAUUGAGGAACUCAGCGCGCACCUUGGUGUCGGGGCUUCG